UGCAAACACUUCAUAGAAUUGAUUUGCAGUUUAUAGAUUUAAUUUGUAUCUAACGGUAUACGUUAUAAUCUUGCUCGUUUUUGGUGUUUCGUUGAGGCAGAUCUAGUCCUCUUCUUCAACAUGCGUCAACAUGAAAAAGUACAACAUUCACCUUGUCUCAAUUUCAAAAGAAAAUACAUUUCAACGUUCGGUUCCAAAAUUCAGGAGAAUUCAACAACAAAAUAUACGUAAAGAUUGGUCAUGGUGCAGCUGAAGCUUUUAUCAACUAUCAAUUUUUAUUCAAUCUAAAUUUCAUAUGAUUAACGAUUUAGAUUACUACUUAUUAUAACAAACUUAUUUCUAUUGAAUCUCAAUUUUACGACUGGUUACCAAAUUCAACUAUUUAUAAAUGUUUAUUCGUUCAACUUUACCUCGAGACUGAAGUGUAACUAAGCACUUAGCUAUAUUCUGAUCUACAUAAUUAUUGAACUUAUAAUCCUCCA